GAAAGUUACUUCGGUACAUCGGUGACAGGUGGUGCAUGGUUGUCGUCAGCUCGUGUCGUGAGAUGUUGGGUUAAGUCCCGCAACGAGCGCAACCCCUAUUGUUAGUUGCCAUCAUUCAGUUGGGCACUCUAGCGAGACUGCCGGUAAUAAACCGGAGGAAGGUGGGGAUGACGUCAAAUCAUCAUGCCCCUUAUGACCUGGGCUACACACGUGCUACAAUGGUUGGUACAACGAGUUGCGAGUCGGUGACGGCGAGCUAAUCUCUUAAAGCCAAUCUCAGUUCGGAUUGUAGGCUGCAACUCGCCUACAUGAAGUCGGAAUCGCUAGUAAUCGCGGAUCAGCACGCCGCGGUGAAUACGUUCCCGGGCCCUU
rnacentral:rRNA from 1 species